rnacentral:rRNA from 1 species
UACGUAGGGACCAAGCGUUGUUCGGAUUUACUGGGCGUAAAGGGCGCGUAGGCGGCAAUUCAAGUCAUCUGUGAAAUCUCCGAGCUUAACUCGGAACGGUCAGAUGAUACUGUUUUGCUAGAGUACAGAAGGGGCAAUCGGAAUUCUUGGUGUAGCGGUGAAAUGACGUAGAUAUCAAGAGGAACACCUGAGGUGAAGACGGGUUGCUGGGCUGAUACUGACGCUGAGGCGCGAAAGCGUGGGGAGCGAACAGG